UACAGAGGGUGCGAGCGUUACUCGGAAUUACUGGGCUUAAAGCGUGUGUAGGCGGUCCGCUAAGUCGGGUGUGAAAUCCCUGGGCUCAACCCAGGAAGUGCACUCGAAACUGGCGGGCUAGAGUAUCGGAGAGGUUGGUGGAAUUCUCGGUGUAGAGGUGAAAUUCGUAGAUAUCGAGAGGAACACCGGUGGCGAAGGCGGCCAACUGGACGAAUACUGACGCUGAAACACGAAAGCGUGGGGAGCAAACAGG
rnacentral:rRNA from 1 species